UACGAAGGGGGCUAGCGUUGUUCGGAAUUACUGGGCGUAAAGGGCGCGUAGGCGGUGUGUCAAGUCAGGCGUGAAAGCCCCGGGCUCAACCUGGGAACAGCGCUUGAGACUGGCACGCUCGAGUUCGGGAGAGGAUGGUGGAAUUCCCAGUGUAGCGGUGAAAUGCGUAGAGAGUGGGGGAGAACACUCGUGGCGAAGGCGGCCAGCUAGACCAGUUCUGACACUGAGGCGCGACAGCGUGGGGAGCAAACAGG
rnacentral:rRNA from 1 species